CCUUCCUUGACCUCUACCGCUAUGACCCAUGGGAGCUCUAGUGAUCCAUCCACCGGCGAUAUUGACAAGCUUUCAACAUCCAAUAUACAUGUGGAUCUAAGAAGUUUAUAAGUCACCUGGUUAUGGCCUAUGUAUUUACAUUUUGGACCUGCUAUGUACUUAUGAAGGAAUAUGAAAACGUCACAACCAUGAGGUUGUGCUUUCUUGUUUCAGAGAAACUACAACCAGAUCAGUUACCGGAUUCAUCUGGUAUAACGACAGUUUGGCGACGCUAUUGGCACAAGUGCUGAAUGCUGAUCUUCUUAUCAUGCUUAGUGAUGUGGAGGGACACUAUAGUGGUCCACCGAGUGAUCCUCAAUCAAAAGUCAUCCACACGUGCAUUACUGAAAAAUCUCAUGUAGGAAGAGAUGGAAUGCAAACUAAAGUGGCAUCUGCUGUUACUGCUGCAUCAAAGGGCGUACCCGCUGUAAUUGUGAGGUGACUACAAUUUUUUUUUCUUGGUGUUAGAGCAUGAAAUUUUAUAUGCAUACCUACUAAGUAUUCCCAUUAGGUUAAGAUACUGCAAGCUACUAUAUGGUCAGUCAAACUGGCAGCUACCAUAUUUGUGCAAUUUAGGAACGCAGGGAGUACUAAUUAAACUAUUGUUGCUAUAAUUGGAUAUUCAAAAGUGCUCGAGUAAGACAAUUGGUAAUUAGUUAUGGAGAUUGGAGUUUUAAUGCAAGGGUUUAACAUUAGAUAAUCAUCUGCAAUGUUUGUGUUGAUAUAUAGUUUGAAUAACUUUCUUAAUUCUUAAGUACUCCUAUCAAACUACGCAUCUUCAAAGUGGCUGGUGCC